rnacentral:rRNA from 1 species
GUAGCAAAAUCAUUUGUUUUUUAAUUGAAAACUGGAAUGAAGGGUUUAACAAACACAUAGUUUUUAUUUUAAAUGUUUAAAAUUUUUAAUUUAUGUAAAAAUACAUAAAUAAUUUAAAGGGACGAUAAGACCCUAAAAGCUUUAUUAUUUCGAUUUUUGUUAUUGUUAAAAUUUGUUUAUUAAUAUUAUUUUAACUGGGGCGGUUGUUUUUUUAACAAAAAUUUUUUUUUACAAAUAGGUUAAAAGAUCCUUUAAAUUAGGAUAAAUAGUUUAAGUUACUUUAGGGGUAACAGCGUAAUAAUAAUGGGAAGAUCUUAUUUAUAUUAUUGAUUGCGACCUCGAUGUUGAAUUAAAUUUUUCUAUAUAAAGCAGAAAUUAUAUGUGAAAGUUUGUUCAACUUUUAAAAUUUU